GAAGCAUUUGGCCCUCAGGGUUUGGUUAGCCAGGACUGCCUGCUGCUCUACCAUCGCCUUCACCCUGGCUUAUUAUGGGAUGCACUGUUACCCAGCUCAUGAUAAUCACAUAAACCUCGGGCCUUGUCCAAAAUCGCUCACUCGUUCACCAUAAGGAGCGGCGUCUGUGAGGUCAUCCUUCAGCGGCGACGGCAGACGCCUGCUACGUUGGUGUAGCAGCCGGCUGAUGGAUUGGACUGCCGCCCGGAGAGAGCGCCUUCGGAGAACACGCUGGUGCGUCGCGGUCUCCGGGCCGUAUGGGCCUCUGCCAGACGUCUUUCAAGGGGAGCAUAAAGGUGUGCCAAACCAGGAGAAGGAGUGCCCGGUGCUUGCGCAUACCAUCAUUGACGACAACGAAACCAGAAACACCAACACUUAGAACCACUUAGAACCACAGUUUAUCGUACUUUUUACUGCUUGAUUGUUCAACAAAAUAAAUCAUCAACCCGAUCA
ensembl:lncRNA